rnacentral:tRNA from 1 species
GGGCCCUUGGCGCAAAGGUAGCGCAGCUGACUCAUAAUCAGCGGGUUGUAGGUUCGAGUCCUACAGGGCCCACCA